rnacentral:lncRNA from 1 species
CGAACAUUUGCCAUCUCAUUCAUUUUUGCUAAUAUCCAGCCUGUGCCGAUGCUCGGAGACUCCACAACGAUGGAGGCUGCGAUGAGCAUCAUCACAUCUGGGCAGACAGCAGAGAAGAUGGCAGGAUGAGACCGUGGGGUCGUCACGGAUGGUAGCUGGGCCCACGUACACAGAGUUGGACCUCAGCUUUUGAAGCUCUGCUGCAAGGUUCUACCCAGGGCCAGAGGAGGAGGAGUCAGGACUCCCGGGUGACCCUGGAGGUGGCUCUGAGGAAGUUUGGGCGGUGGGCAUAAAAGGAGCCUGCCUCCCUGCCUGCCUGCCUGUCUGCCUGCCUGUCUGUCAACGAUCCAUGCGAGUCAGCACCCGAGGCUCGAAGGACAAACCUCCGA